rnacentral:rRNA from 1 species
CCCAAGGGUUGGGCUGUUCGCCCAUUAAAGCGGUACGCGAGCUGGGUUCAGAACGUCGUGAGACAGUUCGGUCCCUAUCCGUCGUGGGCGCAGGAAAUUUGAGAGGAGCUGUCCUUAGUACGAGAGGACCGGGAUGGACGCACCGCUGGUGUACCAGUUGUUCUGCCAAGGGCAUAGCUGGGUAGCUAUGUGCGGAAGGGAUAAGUGCUGAAAGCAUCUAAGCAUGAAGCCCCCCUCAAGAUGAGAUUUCCCAUAGCGUAAGCUAGUAAGAUCCCUGAAAGAUGAUCAGGUUGAUAGGUUCGAGGUGGAAGCAUGGUGACAUGUGGAGCUGACGAAUACUAAUAGAUCGAGGACUUAACCAU